GGAAGAAUUUACAGAGCAGCUCCGCACUGAGUUCAGCAACAUGGAAGCCAUGAUGUUCUGCACAGAGAGAAAAUAUCUCACCAAAACGUUCAGGAUUGUUUGUCCAUACUGACUUUUCACAAAACAUAAAAAACAGCAAGGUUGUCCUGCUGGGAAUGCUGCCUGAAGCGUGGAGUACUCUGAGACUACCUCAAAUGGGCCCUUGCAGUUACAUGAUCAAAGAGCACUCAUCAAUAUUAUGUUGGUGUAUAAGACAAAGGAAGAGGAGCCUGAGAGGCGGCAGCAGUGUGAGGUGACAUCAGCGCUUUAUGAAUGGAGGAAGCGCUGGAGAGGAGGCAUUAAGAUCCAGUUACACAGUGAACGAUGUGACGGGACGGUGGGAGCGAUGAGCUCCGGUGAGAUCAUACUGACUAGAGCCAUUCAGCAGGAAGUCCACAGGUCAGCGGACGGUGGAAGGUAACGUGAUGCUGACGACUGUGAGUGUGUGAAGAUGUGUUUGCCUUUUUAAUGAGCGGCCGUGGCUUCACGUCUGUGGGAUAAUUCAGGGUUGGAGCUGAUUGGAGUCAUUUACUUCCACGUUGCUUGUCAACGACAGGAUGGCAGGAAGCAGCCAGAGGAACUUGGCUCAUGAUGCUACAGCAGCUUUGUGCUUAGAUGAGUGUUAAUGAGGCACCAUGUCACUGGCAUGACUGGGGGAACUGGUGCACGACUGAGUCUAAAUCACUAUCAAAUAAAGGCUUUAAAUCCCCAGAAGGAUUUAGAAGAUGAUUUAUAUUAAGUCCUGAGGUCACAACCAAUUGCAGAAGAAGUGAACAAUGUUGACCGAGUGAAAGUUUGCAGUUUGCUUCUGGGAAAAAAACUGGAGUGAUGUAAUUAAAGCAGUGUGUGUGUGUGUGUGUGUGUGUGUGUGUGUGUGUGUGUGUGUGUGUGUGUGUGUGUGUGUGUGUGUGUGUGUGUGCACACUCACCC